AACGAACGCUGGCGGCGUGCUUAACACAUGCAAGUCGAACGGUAAGGCCCUUCGGGGUACACGAGUGGCGAACGGGUGAGUAACACGUGGGUGAUCUGCCCUGCACUUCGGGAUAAGCCUGGGAAACUGGGUCUAAUACCGGAGAGGACCACUGCCUGCAUGGGUGGAGGUGGAAAGCUUUUGCGGUGUGGGAUGGGCCCGCGGCCCAUCAGCUUGUGGGUGGGGUGAUGGCCUACCAAGGCGACGACGGGUAGCCGGCCUGAGAGGGUGACCGGCCACACUGGGACUGAGAUACGGCCCAGACUCCUACGGGAGGCAGCAGUGGGGAAUAUUGCACAAUGGGCGCAAGCCUGAUGCAGCGACGCCGCGUGAGGGAUGACGGCCUUCGGGUUGUAAACCUCUUUCAGCACCGACGAAGCGCAAGUGACGGUAGGUGCAGAAGAAGGACCGGCCAACUACGUGCCAGCCGCCGCAUAACAC
rnacentral:rRNA from 1 species